rnacentral:tRNA from 2 species
GCUCCUAUGGUCUAGUGGUUAGGACGCGGCCCUUUCAAGGCUAAAACCCGGGUUCGAGUCCCGGUAGGAGCACCA